AACCUGGUUGAUCCUGCCAGUGGAAUAUGCUUGUUUCAAAGAUUAAGCCAUGCAUGUCUGAGCAUGCGCUGAAGUAAAGUGAAGCCGCGAAUAGCUCAUUACAACAGCCGUUGUUUCUUGGAUCUCUUCUCUACUUGGAUAACUGUGGUAAUUCUAGAGCUAAUACAUGCAACAAAGCCCUGAACUUGCGUGACGGGCGCAUUUAUUAGAACAAAACCAUCUGGCCUCGAGCCAUGCGUUGGUGACUCUGAAUAACUGAGCCGAUCGCACGGGCUCGUCCCGGCGACGUAUCUUUCAAGUGUCUGCCUUAUCAGGUAUCGUUGGCGGUUUAUGUGACCGCCAAGCCUGUAACGGGUAACGGAGGAUCAGGGUCAGACUCCGGAGAGGGAGCCUGAGAGACGGCUACCACUUCUAAGGAAGGCAGCAGGCGCGCAAAUUACCCACUCUUGGUUCAAGGAGGUAGUGACGAAAAAUACCAAGGUCAGGCUCAUCGAGCUUGACCAUUGGAAUGAGAACAAUGCAAAUCCUUUAACGAGGAUCUAGUGGAGGGCAAGUCUGGUGCCAGCAGCCGCGGUAAUUCCAGCUCCGCAAGUGUAUUCCUAUACUGUUGCGUUUAAAUAGCUCGUAGUUGGAUCUGCGUGUUUAGCGCCCGGUGUCAAUUAAUUUGGUAACUGCGUCGCGACACUGUACGCCAGUCGACGGCGCUUUGAUAAAGAGUGCAGUUGCUGGCAGGUUUACUUUGAACAAAUCAGAGUGCUCAAAACGGGCGUUUCGCUCGAAUGCUCUUGCAUGGAAUAAUGGAAUAGGACCGCGCGUUCUAUUUUGUUGGUUUUCGGGACGCGGGUAAUGAUCAAGAGGGACAGGCGGGGGCAUUUGUACUGCGACGUGAGAGGUGAAAUUAUUGGAUCGUCGCAAGACAGACUACUGCGAAAGCAUUUGCCAAGAAUGUUUUCAUUAAUCAAGAACGAAAGUAACGGGUUCGAAGGCGAUCAGAUACCGCCCUAGUCGUUACCGUAAACGAUUAGAAUCGGGCAUUCGUCGCAGUCUUUCGAGACGCGGCGAGCGCCCACCCCGAAAGGCAGAAUUUGUGCUGAACGGGGGGAGUAUUCUUGCAAAAGACAAACUUAAAGGAAUUGACGGAGGGGCACCACCAGGUGUGGAGCCUGCGGCUUAAUUUGACUCAACACGGGGAAACUCAUCCGGCCCGGACACCGUGAGGAUUGACAGGUCGCCGAUCUUUCUCGAUUUGGUGGGUGGUGGUGCAUGGCCGUUCUUAGUUGGUGGAGUGAUUUGUCUGGUUUAUUCCGAUAACGAACGAGGCUCUGGCCUACUAACUAGCGCUCGAGUCCUGCGCUCGACGCGCUUCUUAGAGGGACAAGCAGUGCUCAGCUGCAUGAGAAGGAGCAAUAACUGGUCUGUGAUGCCCUUAGAUGUUCGGAGCUGCACGCGCGCUACACUGAAGGAAGCAGCGUGUUAGAGCACCUGGUUCGCGAGAACUGGGUAAUCCGGUGAAUGUCCUUCGUGAUUGGGAUAGGCACUUGUAAUUAUUUGCCUUGAACGAGGAAUACCUAGUAAGUGCGAGUCAUCAGCUUGCGCUGACUACGUCCCUGCCCCUUGUACGCACCGCCCGUCGCUGCCCGGAACUGAGCCGUCUCGAGAAAGCCGGGGACUGACGACUUGUCGAUGCGCGAGCAUUGCUUGUCGACGGAAACCAGUUUGAUCGGUAUGGCUUGAACCGGGCAAAAGUCGUAACAAGGUUUCCGUAGGUGAACCUGCAG
rnacentral:rRNA from 1 species